GACGAACGCUGGCGGCGUGCUUAACACAUGCAAGUCGAACGGAAAGGCCCUGCUUUUGUGGGGUGCUCGAGUGGCGAACGGGUGAGUAACACGUGAGUAACCUGCCCUUGACUUUGGGAUAACUUCAGGAAACUGGGGCUAAUACCGGAUAGGAGCUCCUGCUGCAUGGUGGGGGUUGGAAAGUUUCGGCGGUUGGGGAUGGACUCGCGGCUUAUCAGCUUGUUGGUGGGGUAGUGGCUUACCAAGGCUUUGACGGGUAGCCGGCCUGAGAGGGUGACCGGCCUCAUUGGUACUGAGAUACGUCCCAGCCUCCUACGGGAGGCAGCAGUGGGGAAUAUUGCACAAUGGGCGGAACCCUGAUGCAGCAACGCCGCGUGCGGGAUGACGGCCUUCGUGUUGUAAACCGCUUUCGCCUGUGACGAAGCGUGAGUGACGGUAAUGGGUAAAGAAGCACCGGCUAACUACGUG
rnacentral:rRNA from 1 species